CACGGUCCGUCCCCCUACAGCUCCCAUCCCCCCCACUGACGCCUUGGCGCCAGCCACGGCGUCGGUGACGUCGUGCUGGAGCACACCAGACUAGGGCUGGACACGAGCCGAGCCGAGCUGAGUUCGGUCCGAGCCUGGCUUUGGCUCGCCAUGAACGAGCCAUGCUCGGCUCGGCUCGCUGGUUGAACGAGCCCGCAUCUGGAGGCUCAGCUCGUCUUGCCUCUGGCUCGGUCCAGCCCGAGCAGCUCGUUUUGCCUCUGGAGGCUGGGUGCGUGGGCGUACGGGCGCAUCAGGCGAGGCUGGAGCUUGACAGCGUUGAGGGGAGCACGACGGAGACGUGCCGACGUGGCGAGGUCGGGCGUCUGGUGCGUCGAACGCAGGUGGCUAGCCUCUGUAGCAGUUGAUCUUGCUUCCUCUCGAAUCAAUCAACAGGCUGGUGAUGCGUGCGUGCGCUGCGGCCGCUGGAUGCGUUCGUGCGUGCCGACGCCAGCGGCAGGAUGCGUCGUGGUGGCAUGCAGGAAAUAGCUUGGCGAGAAGCGUGGGGCGGCGGCGACGGCGGCGGCGAACCCUAGCGGGAGGAGACAGUGGAGACGACGCGACUCGCUGGGUUGGGCUGGUUGCGCUCCUCUGCUGGGCUGCAUGAACGUGUCGCGUCCUGGGCUUCGGCUUUGGACGAGCCACCGAGCUGGACCGGGCCAAAACAGGCUCGGCUCGGUCGGCGAACGGGCCCAUUUCGCGUGGCUCGGCUCGGCCUAUUUAGUUCUCGGGCCGAG